rnacentral:lncRNA from 1 species
ACGUAGGCAUAAAUUGCCGAACCACAUAAAUUCUUGGUGUCAAUUUUCUACUUUACCUUGAGCAUUCUCUAUCUUGUAGUACCGACAUUCCUAACAAUUAAAGUAUGAAUUCAUCACAACUAUAUGUUAUCCUCGCCAUCAAUGUGAGUCAAAUAUAAGGGCUCCGAUCUAACAAAAUGAAGACACCACUAGACCAAAAGUAAGUUGAUUUUCUUGAAACAUUUGAGCCUAGUUAUACAGGAACUUUUUAAGUCAUUUCUCAAAGUUGGCAGACGGAACAACAGAAAGGAUACAACUAUCACUCCAAACACAAAACCGACCGAGUAAUCAAAGGAACGGGACUCUGGAAAAUCGGGUGAAUAUAUAUUAGAACUGGAGGCUAAAAAAAAUUCACUAAAAAAUGUGGUGAAUUGAGGAGCCUAAAUUUGUAGACUAAAUUUUGUAACUAAAUGACAUAGAAGCUGAUGAUUGGAUUAUUACUUAAACGGUGAUAAACGUGCUUAUUUCUUAUUGGUGACACAUCAUUUAAUUUGCAAAUUUAGUUUACAAAUUUAGUCUCUCUAGCAUUACUCUUAAAUAAAUAACUUUUCAUUCCAACCCGUAAAACUCAUCCAAUGGUAGAAAGUUACCAUUUUCAUAUGAGCCCUCAAAUUAAUCUUAUGGUAAAUUAAGUUAUCAACUUAAAUAAUUCAUACUACAGUGGAACACAAUAUUUCUACGAAGUGAUUAAAUUAAAAAACAAUUCUCUUUGAAAACUUUCCGUCUUUCUCCCCUACCGCCUCUCUCCUCCACUCACUUUCCUUUCUCCAUCUCUCUCUCGAUCACUCACUCCCCUUCUCUCCUUUGAGUUUUUUUUAUUUUUUCCUUUUCGUGUACUUGUUUCAAUUUUUUCACCAUCAUUAGAAAAUUUCAUAUCAAGAAAUGGUUUACACGUUCAAGAAGAAGGGGAUCCCAUUCUCUAAAACCACACAAUCUUAAUUUUUUGGGUGCUUUGAAACUAAAUGGAUUUGAAUAUUAUUGAUAAAGGAUUGGAUGAAAUUUGAUGUGUAAAGUUAUUAGGGUUUUGUGCAACUAGAUUUGUUGGGCUUAGAUAUUCAACGAGGAGGCUAGGUUUCGCAGAUGGAAGAGAUUCGACAUGUUGUAAAAUCUUCUCCUCCUUUUUUUUUUUUUUUUGUUUUGUUUUAUCAAUUAGAAUUUAGUUUCCGCAUAACAAGAAUUAUUUAAGUUGAUAGCUUAAUUUACUGUAAGAUUAAUCUAAUAGCUCAUAUAAAAUAGACCUCAUAGGUCCUCAAAAUGAAGACCUUAUAGGAGAGCAACUCCUUACUACUUUGAGAUAUAUUAAAGAGGAUAAGAGAGUGAAUUCAAGUUAGUACUACGGUCUAGUCAUAUUCAUUUUCACUUGUAAGUGAGAGAUCUGAAGUUUGAUUCUCUCCAAAUGCAAAUUUGAACUACAUUAUUAUGACUAGUUCAUUGUUAGGCUUAACCCACUCUCCCACCUCUUUAGUGUCGAACCACAUUAUUAUGGUUAGUUCAUUGUUAGGCUUAGCCUACUCGCCCACCCCUUUAGUGUAGAUACUAAAAAACAGAGAGAGAGAGAUAGAGACAGAGAGAAAGAAUUCAAGACGUGGUGGGCUGAAAAGGAAAGCUCUAAUCCACCAAUGGCCCGUGUGUAGUAGACCCAAUAUUCGUGUUGUGUUUUUUGUGACAUAUCUAACGGUCGUGUCGUGUAACACCCGUUAAAGUAAAUGGGUAAUAUGACCCGACCCAAAAUUGACUCAUUAAUAUUAUCAGGUAAUAUGACCCAACCCGUUACCCGUUAAAGAAAAUAUAUUUUAAAUCAAUAAAUAAUGAAAAUCUUAAAAAAUAAAAUUCAGUAAGUAGAAUAAAGCGUAAAUGACAUUCGGUGGUUAAAUUUAAAUCUAAGGUCUAUGGAUUAUGGUGUUUGAUUCAUUUUGAAUGGUUGUCAAUUUAUUUUACAUUUUUCACACUCCUACAAUAAUUAUUAUUAAUUUUGUAUUCAAAUAAAAAAUACUAUUCAUGAGAUUUGGAUGAUUUUAAAAAUCUAAACGACCAUGUAAACAUCACCUAAAAUCACAAGCAUUUAUAUAUUCUUUCACAUUUUUCAAACUUGUACAUUAAUGAUUUUGAAUUUUAUUUAUUUUGAACUCCCUUAAAAAUACUAUUCAUGAGGGUUUGUAUGGUUUUAAAAAUUCAAAGGACGAUGUACUCAUCCUCAAAAGAUAGAGGAUCCAAUCACGAACGUUUACAUUUUUUUUCACAUUUUUCACACUUGUAAAUUAAUUAUUAUAAUUUUUUUAAUGUGUGUGGUAUUUUUAAAGUACUUGAUAGUUUUAUUUAUCAUGUGUUUUAAUUUUUUUUAAUUUCAAUCUUUGCCUAUUGUAUACUAUAAAAAUAAAUAAAUAAAUAAUUUUUAAUUUAUAUAGAAUAAUAAUACAAUAAUACACUAUAUACAUAUACAUUAUGACUAUUGUAUGUUAUAGUAAGUUUUUUUUAGUAAUUUAAAAAAUUAAGGUCAACAAAAUAACUUUCUUCUUAACGUGUCAAAAUGGGUUACCCAUGUGUCACCCUCCUAUAAACUUGUUAAGGAUCCGUUAUUAACGGAUUCUUAUCGUGUGAACCGAUAAUGACCCGAUUAGUUAUCGGGUUGACCUGAAACCCGUUAUUUGUGUGUCUUUUAUUUAUUGUGUUAACGGGUCGUGUAAGAAAUUGUUAGGUCUAAUGGGUAGAGAGCCUAAAUAUCCUAAUGUCCUAACCCACCAUAAUCCCUUGUUUGUUAGGGGCAUAGAUAAGUUUAAUGAGACUAGCAGGGACUCGCUGCUGAAGAAAGCUGAGGUUCCACGAUAAAACCAAUUGGCAAUAUGAUGAGUAACUAAACUUACUUAUAAGCCAUGUAAGGUCUCUCCUCUCAUCAAUGUGGGAUUGAUUCUCAACAGCUACAACUAAACACUUCGCUAGCCGUUCUUAGCAUGACCCUCAAAGUAAAGCGGAUUGUAUACGAUCGCUUCACUCCUUAUUUCACCAAGCGAUCGAUCGCCGCCAAUCUUUGUCAUUAUAAUUUUUUCGAGUUUUGUCAGUUUAGCUUCUUAAGCAGCUCGUAAUUUGCGUUUGUUUUAUUAAAAUCCCAUUUCCUUUUUGUUGGGUUGGAUUAAAUUCCGAUGCUUUAUCUUGUUAGUAUCCUGGAAAACUAGAAAUUGUGUUAAUGCAUUAUUUUAUAGGAUAUGAUUUUUUUUAUUCAUUUAUGAAUAUUUUUAUGCUCAAAUACUUGCUAAUUUGAGAUGGAUUCAGAUGCUGGGUACGCACCUUUGUUGGGUAAAUCUGAUUCAGAUGUUGAAUAAUUCUCUCAAUUGGUUUGGUUUUUUGGGUGAUAAACCAAUUGGAUUUCAAACAAAAACUCAAAAUAGUAAGGGGUUUUUUUUUGGGGUGAUUGAACCAACUGCCAAAGUGACUCAAAUCUUACAUUCAUCGAAAUUAAUCUUACAUAUUUGGUUUAUUCUGUUGAUUAUGCAAAUUUUUGAAAUUUUUCAUUAUCCUACUUUUUAGUCCGAUACUAUGUCAAACGCUUCAUUAAGUCAUUCCAACUUAGUCUAUUCUAAGUUAGUCCAACUUAGUGUAUUCUAAUUCAGUCCAAGCUUAGUAUGUGAAGCUUUUCGGGUCCAAAAACGUCUGAUGCAACCAACGCUCGAUAAAUCCCUUCUCUGUUGCCGUAUGACUUGAUAAGAGCCCUCAUAUGUAAUAGGUGCCCCAUGACUACCAAUAGAUGGAGGAAUAUCUCCCUCGAAGUGAAGAAGGUAGGGGUGGGUUCGGUUUAAUUCGGUUCGGUUCAAUUUUUUUUCAGUUUUUUUCGGUUCGGUUUUUUUCGGUUCGGUUUUUUCCGGUUCGGUUUCGGUUUUUUGUUUUUAUUUUCAAAAAAUGAAAAACAUUGAAAUUUUAAAUUUUAACAUAUCCAACACAAUCAUAACAUAAACAUUCUAACUAGAAUCAAAGACAAUGAAAAUAAACAUUUAAAGUUGAACUAAAAUCAUCAAUCAAGUCUUUCAAAGUCCAAGCUAACAACCUCACAACACAAAAAUCACACAAAAAUCGUACAAAUGACUUAGAAAAGUUAAAUUGUAUGAUGUUGUUCAAAGAUCAAUGUUGUUUGCUUGUAACUGCAUGUUGACAACUUGAUUAGUAAAGGUAAUGCGUGGGUGGAUUUAUUUAGUG